AUGACAAUCUCUACAAAGACCUCCCUUGAAGACUAUAUGAUUAAGGAAAUAAACCCUAAGCCAUGUAGGGAUGAUAGACACAAGAAGAUAAUGAAUGCCCUAGCUCAUGGCCUCUUGGAUAAACCCUUGGAUGAUGCAUUAACAAAGUCCAAUUUCUUUUUUACUAAACUAAAUCGCCUCUUCGCUCUCUUCUUUCCAAUCCCAUAUACAAAGUCGAAAUCUCAACCACGAACCAAGCUUUUCGCUUCAAGUUCACUGCCAAUCUCAGAUCUGAGUUUAUUGGAUGAAUUUCAAGUGAAACGAAAAUUCAAGUCUAGCAUUGGUUAA
rnacentral:lncRNA from 1 species